rnacentral:rRNA from 1 species
GACGAACGCUGGCGGCGUGCUUAACACAUGCAAGUCGAACGGAAAGGCCCUGCUUGCAGGGUACUCGAGUGGCGAACGGGUGAGUAACACGUGGGUGAUCUGCCCUGCACUUCGGGAUAAGCCUGGGAAACUGGGUCUAAUACCGGAUAGGAGCCAUUUUUAGUGUGAUGGUUGGAAAGUUUUUUCGGUGUAGGAUGAGCUCGCGGCCUAUCAGCUUGUUGGUGGGGUAAUGGCCUACCAAGGCGGCGACGGGUAGCCGGCCUGAGAGGGUGGACGGCCACAUUGGGACUGAGAGACGGCCCAGACGCCUACGGGAGGCAGCAGUGGGGAAUAUUGCACAAUGGGCGCAAGCCUGAUGCAGCGACGCCGCGUGGGGGAUGACGGCCUUAGGGUUGGAAACUCCUUUCGCUAGGGACGAAGCUUUUUGUGACGGUACCUAGAUAAGAAGCACCGGCUAACUACGUG